rnacentral:rRNA from 1 species
GACGAACGCUGGCGGCGUGCCUAAUACAUGCAAGUCGAACGCAUUUUCUUUCACCGUAGCUUGCUACACCGAAAGAAAAUGAGUGGCGAACGGGUGAGUAACACGUGGGUAACCUGCCCAUCAGCGAGGGAUAACACUUGGAAACAGGUGCUAAUACCGCAUAAUUCCAUUUACCGCAUGGUAAAUGGAUGAAAGGCGCUUUUGCGUCACUGAUGGAUGGACCCGCGGUGCAUUAGCUAGUUGGUGGGGUAACGGCCUACCAAGGCUGCGAUGCAUAGCCGACCUGAGAGGGUGAUCGGCCACACUGGGACUGAGACACGGCCCAGACUCCUACGGGAGGCAGCAGUAGGGAAUCUUCGGCAAUGGACGCAAGUCUGACCGAGCAACGCCGCGUGAGUGAAGAAGGUUUUCGGAUCGUAAAACUCUGUUGUUAGAGAAGAACAAGGAUGAGAGUGGAAAGUUCAUCCCUUGACGGUAUCUAACCAGAAAGCCACGGCUAACUACGUG